rnacentral:rRNA from 1 species
UGCCUACUGGCGGCAGCAGUGAGGAAUAUUGGUCAAUGGACGAGAGUCUGAACCAGCCAAGUCGCGUGAAGGAAGACGGCCCUACGGGUUGUAAACUUCUUUUGUAAGGGAAUAAAUAGUCUUACGCGCUAAGACGUUGCAGGUACCUUACGAAUAAGGAUCGGCUAACUCCGUGCCAGCAGCCGCGGUAAUACGGAGGAUCCGAGCGUUAUCCGGAUUUAUUGGGUUUAAAGGGUGCGCAGGCGGCAUGUUAAGUCGGCGGUGAAAUGUUGCAGCUCAACUGUAAAAGAGCCUUCGAAACUGGCAAGCUUGAGUGUGGAUGAAGUAGGCGGAAUUUGUGGUGUAGCGGUGAAAUGCAUAGAUAUCACAAAGAACACCGAUUGCGCAGGCAGCUUACUAAACCAUAACUGACGCUCAUGCACGAAGGCGUGGGGAUCAAACAGGAUUAGAUACCCCGGUAGUCUC